rnacentral:rRNA from 1 species
UACGAAGGGGGCUAGCGUUGCUCGGAAUCACUGGGCGUAAAGGGUGCGUAGGCGGGUCUUUAAGUCAGGGGUGAAAUCCUGGAGCUCAACUCCAGAACUGCCUUUGAUACUGAGGAUCUUGAGUUCGGGAGAGGUGAGUGGAACUGCGAGUGUAGAGGUGAAAUUCGUAGAUAUUCGCAAGAACACCAGUGGCGAAGGCGGCUCACUGGCCCGAUACUGACGCUGAGGCGCGAAAGCUAGGGGAGCAAACGGG